rnacentral:rRNA from 1 species
UACGAAAGGUCCAAGCGUUACUCGGAAUUACUGGGCGUAAAGCGCGCGUAGGCGGUCUUGUAUGUCGAUUGUGAAAGCCCCGGGCUCAACCUGGGAACUGCAGUCGAAACUGCAAGACUUGAGUACGGCAGAGGGGGGUAGAAUUCCUGGUGUAGCAGUGAAAUGCGUAGAUAUCAGGAGGAAUACCGAUGGCGAAGGCAGCCCCCUGGGUCAAGAUUGACGCUCAUGCACGAAAGCGUGGGGAGCAAACAGG